rnacentral:rRNA from 1 species
UACGGGGGGAGCAAGCGUUGUUCGGAUUUACUGGGCGUAAAGGGCGCGUAGGUGGCCACCGCAAGUCGACUGUGAAAUCUCCGGGCUUAACCCGGAAAGGUCAGCCGAUACUGCGGGGCUAGAGUGCAGAAGGGGCAACUGGAAUUCUCGGUGUAGCGGUGAAAUGCGUAGAUAUCGAGAGGAACACCUGCGGCGAAGGCGGGUUGCUGGGCUGACACUGACGCUGAUGCGCGAAAGCUAGGGGAGCGAACGGG